CCGCUGGUAGCGUAGUAGUUAUCGCACCAGACUGGUAUUCUGGAGGUCGUGGGUUCGGAUCCCACCCGGCGGG
rnacentral:tRNA from 1 species